AAGCUCGUAGUUGAAUUUCGGGCAUCUAUGGAUUGGUCAUGCCGUUGGUAUGUACUGGUCAUAUUGGUUCUCACCUUCUAAGGAACCAUAAUGUCAUUCAUUUGAUGUUUUGGGGAAUUAGGACUGUUACCUUGAAAAAAUUAGAGUGUUUAAAGCAGGCUAACGCUUGAAUACAUUAGCAUGGAAUAAUGAAAUAGGACGUCGCAUUCUAUAUUGUUGGUUUCUAGGAUCGAUGUAAUGAUUAAUAGGGAUAGUUGGGGGCAUUAGUAUUCAAUUGUCAGAGGUGAAAUUCUUGGAUUUAUUGAAGACUAACUACUGCGAAAGCAUUUGCCAAGGAUGUUUUCAUUAAUCAAGAACGAAAGUUAGGGGAUCGAAGACGAUCAGAUACCGUCGUAGUCUUAACCAUAAACUAUGCCGACUAGGAAUCAGACGAUGUUAAUUUUUUAAUGACUCGUUUGGCACCUUACGGGAAACCAAAGUGUUUGGGUUCCGGGGGGAGUAUGGUCGCAAGGCUGAAACUUAAAGGAAUUGACGGAAGGGCACCACCAGGGGUGGAGCCUGCGGCUUAAUUUGACUCAACACGGGAAAA
rnacentral:rRNA from 1 species